rnacentral:rRNA from 1 species
UACAGAGGGGGCAAGCGUUAUUCGGAAUUAUUGGGCGUAAAGAGCGUGUAGGCGGCCAUACAGGUCAGCUGUGAAAACUCGAGGCUCAACCUCGAGACGUCGGUUGAAACCGUAUGGCUAGAGUCCGGAAGAGGAGAGUGGAAUUCCCGGUGUAGCGGUGAAAUGCGCAGAUAUCAGGAGGAACACCUAUUGCGAAGGCAGCUCGCUGGGACGUAACUGACGCUGAGACGCGAAAGCGUGGGGAGCAAACAGG